AAGGGCACCACAAGAACGCGUGGAGCAUGUGGCUUAMUUUGACUCAACGCGGGAAAUCUUACCGGGUCCGGACACACUGAGGAUUGACAGGCAAUAUUAAAAAUUAUCACAGUUAUUUUAUAAUUGUUGAUUCAAUUUUUAUGUUAAAUAUGCUAGUCCUUUCAUGAUUAUGUGAUAGGUGGUGCAUGGCCGUUCUUAGUUCGUGGAGUGAUCUGUCUGCUUAAUUGCGUUUCACUAAGGGCUUAUCUAAUUACGUGUGUUGCAAGUACUUUGACCCCUAUUUUGAAAUAUAAAUAGUGAGUGUCUCUGUUUGCUUUGCUCGCACAAUUAAGUCCUGAAAGCAACGAACGUGACCGCAACCUCUUGUUGCCUUUCACAACAAUACAGUUUUAUUUCGAAAUUUAUUUCUUAAUAACUGUUAAAAAAAAAGGCUUUUAAACUAGAGGGACCGCUGUAAUCUUUUUAAACCAGAGGAAGGUUGCGGCAAUAACAGGUCUGUGAUGCCCUUAGAUGUUCCGGGCUGCACACGUGCUACAAUGAUUAUUGCAGUGAGCAUCUCAUUUUUUACACACUGCAGCGUGAGUCCAAUUAUUGAGUUCUCAUAUUUUCGGAUAUGUUGAAUUACUUUAAUUGUGUACUUUGCGCGCAGUAAAGCCUGCUUCGAAAGUAAGUGGGUAAUCAAUUAGAAGUAAUGAUUUCCCAAAUUUUAAUAGCACACAUAUAUACGGCAUUUUUACCCGAAUUAAGCUUGUCUUAAUUUCUGUGUGUAUUAAUGUUUUUUUCCGUAUGUGCAAUUGUCAAUUCAUGGUGGGGACAGACCAUUGUUAAUUGUUGGUCUCGGUCUUAACUAGGAAUGCCUUGUACGGGUCUUUGGUUCAACAAACCACCCGGAAUACGUCCCUGCCCUUUGUACACACCGCCCGUCGCUCUUACCGAUGGACUUCUCUGUGAGUUUGAGGGACUGGAUAUUGUAUGUUUAAUUUAUUUUAAACUAACUACCAUCUAUGGAAACUUAAACGAACAGUGUGGUCUAAAGGAAAGAGAAGUCG
rnacentral:rRNA from 1 species